rnacentral:rRNA from 1 species
GGAGGAUCAUUAUCGUAGGGCUUCGGCCCUGUCGAGAUAGAACCCUUGCCUUUUUGAGUACCUUUCGUUUCCUCGGCAGGCUCGCCUGCCAAUGGGGACCACAAAAAACACUUUGCAGUACCUGUAACAGUCUGAACAAACAAAACAAAAAUUAAAACUUUCAACAACGGAUCUCUUGGUUCUGGCAUCGAUGAAGAACGCAGCGAAAUGCGAUAAGUAGUGUGAAUUGCAGAAUUCAGUGAAUCAUCGAAUCUUUGAACGCACAUUGCGCCUUUUGGUAUUCCUUAGGGCAUGCCUGUUCGAGCGUCAUUUAAACCUUCAAGCUAAGCUUGGUGUUGGGUGACUGUCCGCUUCACUGCGGACUCGCCUCAAAAUUAUUGGCGGCCGGUACAUUGGCUUCGAGCGCAGCAGAAACGCGAACUCGGGCCCGUCGUAUUGGCUCCCAGAAGCUAUCUUCACAAUUUUGACCUCGGAUCAGGUAGGGAUACCCGCUGAACUUAAGCAUAUCAAUAAGCGGAGGA